UGCGUAGGCGGGCAGAUAAGUCAGUGGUGAAAUCCCCGAGCUUAACUUGGGAACUGCCAUUGAUACUAUUUGUCUUGAAUGUCGUGGAGGUUAGCGGAAUAUGUCAUGUAGCGGUGAAAUGCUUAGAUAUGACAUAGAACACCUAUUGCGAAGGCAGCUAACUACGCGGAUAUUGACGCUGAGGCACGAAAGCGUGGGGAUCAAACA
rnacentral:rRNA from 1 species